GUACCUUCCAGCCCUGCUGGGUGUUGGGCGUUUGUUCUGCUUUUUGCGCAGAACUCGCCUCAAAUGAAUUGGCAGCCAGCCGUCUAGUUGUAGAGCGCAGCACAUUUUGCGUUCUCUCCUAUGUGUGGUGGCGUCCACAAGCCUAAACUUUUACGC
rnacentral:misc_RNA from 1 species